rnacentral:rRNA from 1 species
UGGUGGAGUGAUUUGUCUGGUUAAUUCCGUUAACGAACGAGACCUCAGCCUACUAAAUAGCACGACAAACAUUUUUGUUUGCUGGUGCUUCUUAGAGGGACUUUCGGUUUCGAGCCGAAGGAAGUUUGAGGCAAUAACA